rnacentral:rRNA from 1 species
UACGGGGGGAGCAAGCGUUGUUCGGCUUUACUGGGCGUAAAGGGCGCGUAGGCGGCCACCGCAAGUCGACUGUGAAAUCUCCGGGCUUAACUCGGAAAGGUCAGCCGAUACUGCGGGGCUAGAGUGCAGAAGGGGCAACUGGAAUUCUCGGUGUAGCGGUGAAAUGCGUAGAUAUCGAGAGGAACACCUGCGGCGAAGGCGGGUUGCUGGGCUGACACUGACGCUGAUUGUGCGAAAGCUAGGGGAGCGAACGGG